rnacentral:pre_miRNA from 1 species
GCAACGAUCUUGUAUGGAUGCAUUACAGGGCAAUUACUCCCUUGGCAGAUAGCUAUAGUACUAGCUAAAUUGAGCAAACAAGUACAGUAAGCUCACUGCCAAAGGAGAUUUGCCCGGCAAUUCAACCCUAUUACGUACUAGC